AUUGAACGCUGGCGGCAGGCCUAACACAUGCAAGUCGAGCGAACCGCAAGGUUAGCGGCGGACGGGUUAGUAACGCGGGGGAACGUGCCCAAAGGUACGGAAUAGCCUCGGGAAACUGAGAGUAAUACCGUAUGUGCCCGAAAGGGGAAAGGUUUAUCGCCUUUGGAUCGGCCCGCGUUGGAUUAGGUAGUUGGUGGGGUAACGGCCUACCAAGCCGACGAUCCAUAGCUGGUGUGCGAGGAUGAUCAGCAACACUGGGACUGGGACACGGCCCAGACUCCUACGGGAGGCAGCAGUGGGGAAUCUUAGACAAUGGGGGAAACCCUGAUCUAGCCAUGCCGCGUGAGCGAUGAAGGCCUUAGGGUUGUAAAGCUCUUUCACCGGGGAAGAUAAUGACGGUACCCGGAGAAGAAGCCCCGGCUAACUCCGUGCCAGCCGCCGCAGUAAGAC
rnacentral:rRNA from 1 species